AUCAAUUAUCGUUAUAGCAAAAAGUGUUCAUUUACUACAUUGUCUGCAUCUACAAAAUUUCCACUCUUAGAAUGCUUGGAAGAAAUCUAAUACUGCUACCGAUAAUGAUGAUAAUUGUGAUCACAUUGGAAGUCGUCGCCGAGGUACCACCGAGAACGACAACCUUCUACGAAGGACACACUGAUAAUGGUCCAAGAUUUUAAGCACUUCAUGAGUGACUGACUCCUGUUUAUUUGGAUUAAAUGUAUUCUUGAAAUUUGAAAA